GCCAGGGCCGGCGGCCUCCAGCUGAUUUGAAAACUCUCACAGAUAUUGUAACAGCUGCUGAGUCUCUGAUUGGGUAUGAAGCCCUAACUCUGACUCCCGCUACGCUAGUUCAAGCAGAAUUAAGUCAGCAGAGCCACCACACAAACUCUCCUUUUAAGUUGAGCUACAAGGACUCCACAAUCAUAAAGUAGCCAGGAAAACCAGGAAUUUUGAAGAAAGUCAAGAAAAUUACUGAAGGGCUUGAGAUGGAAUCAUAUUGAAACUGUGAAGCCUUCUGCCAGAAAUUACUUCAUGUAAAGUGUAGGAGACACCACACAAGAGGUUACUAUGAGGAGACAGGCUCAAAUGAUAAGAUCCUCAUACUAAGAAUAAAUGAAU
ensembl:lincRNA